rnacentral:rRNA from 1 species
GCGGCAUGCUUUACACAUGCAAGUCGAACGGUAACAGGGAGCUUGCUCCGCUGACGAGUGGCGAACGGGUGAGUAAUAUAUCGGAACGUACCCAAGAGUGGGGGAUAACGUAGCGAAAGUUACGCUAAUACCGCAUACGAUCUAUGGAUGAAAGCAGGGGACCUUCGGGCCUUGUGCUCCUGGAGCGGCCGAUAUCUGAUUAGCUAGUUGGUGAGGUAAAGGCUCACCAAGGCGACGAUCAGUAGCUGGUCUGAGAGGACGACCAGCCACACUGGAACUGAGACACGGUCCAGACUCCUACGGGAGGCAGCAGUGGGGAAUUUUGGACAAUGGGCGCAAGCCUGAUCCAGCAAUGCCGCGUGAGUGAAGAAGGCCUUCGGGUUGUAAAGCUCUUUUGUCAGGGAAGAAACGGCUGUGGCUAAUAUCCACGGCUAAUGACGGUACCUGAAGAAUAAGCACCGGCUAACUACGUGCCAGCAGCCGCGGUAAUACGUAGGGUGCAACCGUUAAUCGGAAUUACUGGGCGUAAAGCGUGCGCAGGCGGUUUUGUAAGUCUGUCGUGAAAUCCCCGGGCUCAACCUGGGAAUUGCGAUGGAGACUGCAAGGCUAGAAUCUGGCAGAGGGGGGUAGAAUUCCACGUGUAGCAGUGAAAUGCGUAGAGAUGUGGAGGAACACCGAUGGCGAAGGCAGCCCCCUGGGUCAAGAUUGACGCUCAUGCACGAAAGCGUGGGGAGCAAACAGGAUUAGAUACCCUGGUAGUCCACGCCCUAAACGAUGUCUACUAGUUGUCGGGUUUUAAUUAACUUGGUAACGCAGCUAACGCGUGAAGUAGACCGCCUGGGGAGUACGGUCGCAAGAUUAAAACUCAAAGGAAUUGACGGGGACCCGCACAAGCGGUGGAUGAUGUGGAUUAAUUCGAUGCAACGC